rnacentral:rRNA from 1 species
AUUGAACGCCGGCGGCAUGCUUAACACAUGCAAGUCGAACGGUAACAGGCCCUUCGGGGUGCUGACGAGUGGCGGACGGGUGAGUAAUGCUUAGGAAUCUGCCUAGUAGUGGGGGAUAACCCGGGGAAACUCGGGCUAAUACCGCAUACGCCCUACAGGGGAAAGCGGGGGACUUUCGGGCCUCGCGCUAUUAGAUGAGCCUAAGUCCGAUUAGCUAGUUGGUAGGGUAAUGGCCUACCAAGGCGACGANCGGUAGCUGGUCUGAGAGGACGACCAGCCACACUGGGACUGAGACACGGCCCAGACUCCUACGGGAGGCAGCA